rnacentral:rRNA from 1 species
ACAGACCGAUCUAAGGUGAAACCGCGAAUGGCUCAUUAAAUCAGUCAUAAUUCCUUGGAUAGUGAUAAACUUCCUCGGAUAACUGUGGAAAAUCCAGAGCUAAUACGUGCAACUGAGUUCCGACCUCGGCGCGAGCCUUGGGAAGAACGCAUUUAUUAGAUCCAAAACUGACCGGCGUAAUCCUCCGGGAUGCGCCGAUCGUCAAAUGUUUGAUGACUCCGGAUAACUUAGCCGAGCGCUACGGUCUUUAGUACCGGCGCCGUAUCUUUCAAGUGUCUGCCUUAUCAGCUUUCGAUUGUAGGUUAAACGCCUACAAUGGCUGUAACGGGUAACGGGGAAUCAGGGUUCGAUUCCGGAGAGGGAGCCUGAGAAACGGCUACCACAUCUAAGGAAGGCAGCAGGCACGCAAAUUACCCACUCCCAGCCCGGGGAGGUAGUGACGAAAAAUAACGAUGCGAGACUCUUCCGAGGCCUCGCAAUCGGAAUGAGUUCAUUUUAAAAUUUUGGACGAGGAUCCAUUGGAGGGCAAGUCUGGUGCCAGCAGCCGCGGUAAUUCCAGCUCCAAUAGCGUAUAUUAAAGUUGCUGCGGUUAAAAAGCUCGUAGUUGGACUACCUAGAGCCAUUUCGCGAGCGGGUCGCUCGUUGAACUAAUGUCUCGAGUAAGUCACUGGAUAACGUCGUUUCGAGCGUGGUCUUCUGGCGAUCGUCUCUCUCUAGGGAGUUGGCGUUUCGUUUAGUUGGCUCGUUUAUUCGCACGGAGUCUAGCGGACGUCGAGUCGUUGUCUUCGAGUAUUGCUCGUUCGCGUUUGGUACAAUUAAAAAUUUGUCGGCUCGUUCGGAGUGCUCUUCACCGAGUGUUCCAGGAUGGCUGACACGUUCACUUUGAAAAAAUUAGAGUGCUCAAAGCAGGCUGAUAACCAACGGCCGGAAUGUCUGUGCAUGGAAUGAAGUAACAGGACCUCGAUUCUGUUUUUUUUGUCGGUUUUAAUGAACCGAGGUAAUGAUUAAAAGGGACAGACGGUGGCAUUAGUAUUGCGGCGCUAGAGGUGAAAUUCUUGGACCGCUGCAAGACUAACUACUGCGAAAGCAUUUGCCGAGAAUGUUUUCAUUAAUCAAGAACGAAAGUUAGAGGAUCGAAGGCGAUCAGAUACCGCCCUAGUUCUAACCCUAAACUAUGCUAACUAGCGAUCCGUCGGAGUCAUUCCCACGACCCGACGGGAAGCCUCAGGGAAACCAAAGUUUUUGAGUUCCGGGGGAAGUAUGGUUGCAAAGCUGAAACUUAAAGGAAUUGACGGAAGGGCACCACCAGGAGUGGAGCCUGCGGCUUAAUUUGACUCAACACGGGAAACCUCACCAGGCCCGGACAUCAUGAGGAUUGACAGGUUGAGAGCUCUUUCUCGAUUUGAUGGGUGGUGGUGCAUGGCCGUUCUUAGUUGGUGGAGUGAUCUGUCUGGUUGAUUCCGAUAACGAACGAGACUCUACCCUGCUAACUAGUCGGCAGAUCGUAACCCUGAGAUGGUUAGUCGGUAUAGGAUGGUUUUGCCUAGGCGUCGGUUUAUGCCGCGUUCGACGUUAUACGCGCGUCGGGUGUUUGAAGGUUUCGGCCGACAGCGCCCGUGCCGUGUUUGUGUAAUUUCGGAUGUUUGUGUGUGACUGCGUCGAAGCUUCCGUUCGAUUGCUACUACUACUGGGGGCGUCUGUCGCAAUGUAUCUUCUUAGAGGGAUCAGCGGCGUAUAGCCGCACGAGAAAGAGCAAUAACAGGUCUGUGAUGCCCUUAGAUGUUCUGGGCCGCACGCGCGCUACAAUGUAGAGACCAGCGUGCUUUCCCCUUCCGAAAGGAACGGGUAACCAGUUGAAAGCCCUACCCGAUUGGGAUUGGGGAUUGCAAAUAUUUCCCAUAAACGAGGAAUUCCCAGUAAGCGUGAGUCAUCAAGUCGCGCUGAUUACGUCCCUGCCCUUUGUACACACCGCCCGUCGCUACUACCGAUUGAAUGAUUCAGUGAGGGCAUCGGACUGGCGCCUUCGGUUUAGUAACAUAGACCUUAGGCUGACGGAAAGAUGUCCGAACUUGAUCAUUUAGAGGAAGU